CCGUGAGGAUUAUUAUUGUAGGAGAACAACAAAGCCAUGACAAUUUAUUGUCUCCUCUGCAAGGUUAACAAGUUGCAGCACUGAUCAGCUGAAGUACUAUUGUGUGCAUGCUAGGAAGAAAGGAGGGAAGAACAAUGUUAAUUCUAUCAAAGCUGUGCUCCCUCCUAACCAAAAGGGACAGCAGAGCAUCCAAAGGGCUGCAUCUUGGACCUGCCAAGGAGGAAAGGAUUGCAUCAGAGAUAACGCACUGAGCAAGCAGAUCUGUCCAGAGCUGGACUGCGCAGAAGCUGUUGGCAAUGGACACAAGAGGCACAUUGAUGGGAAAUGUCUUGAGAAAAGGGAACUGUACCCAAGAUGAAAGGAGCUGCAGUGCACAUCCUGCAGGAUUUCAGGAGGGAAGAACCAGUGUAAGACAACUAGCAGUUUAUGGAAAGGCUAGAAGGCUGUGGACAGAUUGGCAGCCAGCUGCAUUCUAGCAGGGCAAAGCAAGGCAAACAGUGAGUGAGCUGUUGGGUAGUAGCCCUGCUUUCGUGCAAGACAGAGGAUGGUGCGUGGGAGA